rnacentral:lncRNA from 1 species
AGGACGGCGUGGAAACGCAACCGCCCGGAGGAAAGGCGGGAAACAGCGGGAAGGGAGGUUUGCCGCCCCCUCUUCCUGUGGUGACCUCCACCUCUUACAAAAAUCACCACCGACGUGUGGGAACCGUGCUCGCUGACUGAAAGCAAAGCUCAGCUGACCUGUGAGGAGGCCCCGGGGAGCUGCCGCGGUGGUCGCCGCUGAGUCCAUCCGUGCCGCUGGGCCGAGGCAGCUGGAGAUGUGGUCAACUGGCUGAUGGGCAUGGCUGUGGGACCCCAUCAUUCCCCUGCCCUGCAUGACUCUGCUCUCCCAGCUCGACUGCUUACUUCAGACUUCCCUAAUGGAAGGAGUUGCCAGAUAGAGCAAGUAAAAUACAGUGUGCCAGACACAGGUUUAUUUCAACACUGGGAAGGCUCCAUUCCUACUUAAACCCAGCAGGGAACAGGGAGCGGUGUGCAGAGGAGGUGGCCUGCCCGCGAAGCCGGCCUUGGUGCUGGGACUGCAGGGAGAGGGCUGUGAGGAAGAGCACAGGCUUCAUGCACAUUGCACAGAGGAGGAGAUUCAUGGGGACAGCAGGCACUGGUUAGGCACAGCAGGAAGGUUAUCGAAGACAAAACACAUUUCUAUCCCAGUUCAAAUGACCUGCUAUGCCCACAGAGCUUGAUCCAGAAGUGCACAGGUAAGUAUUUAGCAGGCUGGCCGAUGUUGAUUUGAACAAUCUCAAGAAUGUGCUCUUUAGUGCAUUAAACAUAUGUGACAAGAGCUGAGCACAUUUAAAAUCUCAGUAACUUUGGGGUUUGUAAGUGUUGUAGCUCAUAGUGUCGGUUAAGGUUAGACAUCUCAAUCACAUGCUGUCUUGGACUGUGCUGUGAAAGAGAUCUGUGACCUUGCACCCUGAGAUCUCAGGCUCAAUUAAGAGACAAAACAGGCAAUGCAGUAUCAGUGCAGAUGGGAAAGAGAAAGCAGAAAGUAUGAAGAGGGAAAGAAGGAGCACAAAGGAAUUAGCAUUAGUCUCUACUGAGCAAUUCCUAUUCCAACCACGUCCUAAAUGAUGAGUUGGAUCCUAGCAGAAAGGGAACACAUGUUAUUUUUAACUGAUUUUAACUUGAUUUAUUGUAACCUAUUAGGAGCUCUUAAUAAAUAUGGCUCUUUAUGUUGUUA